rnacentral:rRNA from 1 species
GGACCCGCACAAGCGGUGGAUUAUGUGGAUUAAUUCGAUGCAACGCGAAAAACCUUACCUACCCUUGACAUGCUAGGAAGCCCGCAGAGAUGUGGGUGUGCCCGAAAGGGAACCUAGACACAGGUGCUGCAUGGCUGUCGUCAGCUCGUGUCGUGAGAUGUUGGGUUAAGUCCCGCAACGAGCGCAACCCUUGCCAUUAGUUGCUACAUUCAGUUGGGCACUCUAAUGGGACUGCCGGUGACAAACCGGAGGAAGGUGGGGAUGACGUCAAGUCCUCAUGGCCCUUAUGGGUAGGGCUUCACACGUAAUACAAUGGCCGGUACAGAGGGCUGCCAACCCGCGAGGGGGAGCAAAUCCCAGAAAGCCGGUCGUAGUCCGGAUUGUUCUCUGCAACUCGAGAGCAUGAAGUCGGAAUCGCUAGUAAUCGCGGAUCAGCAUGUCGCGGUGAAUACGUUCCCGGGUCUU